AUGAAAUUAUAGUUAUACUGUGAAGAAUGUAUGAACUCACGAAAUGAAUCCAUUAAAAUGUGUAAUUGUGAUUAUUUAUUAUUUUGGAGUUAUUCAAAAAGGUCAAAGUGUUUUUGUUUCACAAAGAGAAACGAAAUGGGAUGAAUCCCCAUGCAUUUUAGCAGAACCAGCUAUUAUCUGCAGAAACGAUGGCUCGUGGAUCAUGGAAAAUGGUUUGGAAUUGCAUACGAAGGCAAUAGUUCAAGACAAUGGAUUUUGGAUUGGAUAUGCCAAAACAUGGAUUAGUUUUGCUUAUGUUGGAUGUAAUGCAGUGAAUGAUGGAGUCGAAUAUUCAGUUUCAACUCUUGGAGAAUGUAGACGUACAACAGGUUGCAAAACAUUCGGAAUCAGGAAUUCGACUGCCGUGAGUAAACAACUAAACAUACCAUAACAUAACAAAUGAUUAUAUCAUCAUUCUACUUUUCAAAUGCCUUUGCUGGGAAACUAUGAUAUGCUUUUCAUACAUGAUAAUUGAAUAGAAGGAAUGUUGAUCACUUAUGAUGUAUGUAUGUAAUUUAGUCAAGUGGUCAGAUCUUAAAUUGUCAUACAAUGGAAGAAAGAGAAGUCUAAAUAGUAUUUAUUGAACAAAAAGGACAUAAUCUAAACAAUUAUUCAUGCAAAUAAACGUGUGAUUAGAGAAAACCCGAAUUGAUCAAACUUGCGAUAUAAGGACAGGAAGAUGCUAGUUAUAGAGAAAUUUGGUCUAGUAAAAAUCACACUAUUGUUUACAAAUGUGGCUUCUCUUGCAUAAAGCAAAACAUUAGUUUAAAAGUCUGACCAAAGUUGCAAACUGUGAUAUAUGUUUGUUAGACUCAUACAAGUGAUUUCAAUGUGAAUUCAGUCAAACAUCUUACAAGUAACCCGAAGGGCUCGCAACAAGUGUCUUCAACGUUACAAUUAAACUACACGGUCAAUUCAAGUAGUCAGGAAUUCAUUUAUGAACCCUUUUUCUUUUUAAAUAUCUUCAGUAACUUUUUGUCAUCACAUUAAGGAAUUGAUGCAAAUGUCUUAGAAAAAAACACAACAGUUAUCUAAUUUAAGGCAAUAACUAACUGAUAGUUAAAACUUUGGGUGACCUUAUGUUCACAAUCUGUUAUUUGGUACUUUAGUUGCUUAUUGCUCAUGCCAGUUUUGCUAAACCAUCCAAAACAUCCACAGAACAAUUUAAGCUCACUUAGUAGCCAAACACUUAAUGGAUACACUUUUUCAGGGCACAAUGUUAAUUGACACUACACAAGAGACAUACAACGUUUGAAACAACAAAAUUACACCUCAAAUUCUUUUAAAUGCUUAUAUCAAAAUAAAUGUUUGAAUAACCACCCUGGCAUAACUUGACUGAAUUUAUUUGGAUUUUUUUCAGGGAUUAAGAUGUAAGUGUGCCAGUAAUAGCCAGGUUUUUUCGGGAACAUGUAGAAGAAAAUGCGAAGAAGCGGAUCAAUAUCCUUGUGGUGAUACUACCGACACAACUAUGUACUCAAUUUAUACGGUGGAAAAAGUUCCACCAAGCAGCCAUUCACAGGAUAGAGACAAAAACUGUCUAUUGUUUUAUUAUGCAUAUGGCGGACAGGUACAUAAUUUUUAUUGGAAUUCAUGCCAUUUAGUCUCCUAUCCAGAGCUGUUAUGCAGCGGCACAAACUUUUCAGAUCAAAACCAAAUGGCGCAAAUAAAUCCUUCAAGUAAUGGGAAAUGGGCUAAAGCUGUUGAUCACUGCUUCGUUGGAAAACUCUUCCCUGCGACGAUACAAAGUAUCAAAAAUGCGCAGUUUACACGCACGAACGCCAUUGACUACUGGACAGGAAUACUUAAAAAAGAGUCAAUUAUAUCAUCGAACUACA